UGAAGCUCUCAACCUCCUCCACUACAGUCCCGUCAAUGAGAAUGGGGGCGUGCUCGGUCCUCCUUUUCCUGUGGUCCACAAUCACCUCCUUUGUCUUGAUCACAUUGAGGGCGAGGUUGUUGUCCUGGCACCACACGUCCAGGUCUCUAACCUCAUCCCUAUAGGCUGUCUGAUCAUUGUCGGUGAUCAGGCCUACCACUGUUGUGUCAUCAGCAAACUUAAUGAUGGUGUUGGAGUCGUGCCUGGCCGUGCAGUCAUUAGUGAAUAGGGAGUACAGGAGGGGACUGAGCACGCACCCCUGAGGGGCCCACGUGUUGAGGAUCAGCGUGGCAGAUGUGUUGUUACCUACCCUUACCACCUGGGGGCGGCCCGUCAGGAAGUCCAGGAUCCAGUUGCAGAGGGAGGUGUUUAGUCCCAGAGUCCUUAGCUUAGUGAUGAGCUUGAGGGCACUAUGCGGUUGAACGCUGAGCUGUAGUCAAUGAACAGCAUUCUCACAUAGGUGUUCCUUUUGUCCAGGUGGGAAAGGGCAGUGUGGAGUUAUCACAGGUAAUGUUGGACAGGACAGGAGAUUAACUAUCUUCCCAGUUGUACCACAGUCCAUAAUUUGAUAGAAUAUGUUGUUCAUCCCAUAACAUGGUUUACCAAGGAAAAAUGUCUAAUACAUGGUAAACAGGAGUUAAAGAACUGGUGGAAAAACAGGCAGAGAUAUACAUUUUCUUACGCUCAUCGCCUGUGUUUGUAUGUGCAUGGUUCUCAGCUUUUUGGGAGAAGGACAGUGAGCCGACUAGUGUCAGCAGCUUCUCCAAGUGGGAGCAUCAGUGUGCUCUAUCAGCUCCCAGGCUGGUGCUGCCCAAGCUGACCCCUCUGAUGGUCCAGGACAAAGGCUGAGAGUGCAGUACUACCCACUGUCCAGGAAACAGCUGGAAUGGCAGCUCUGCCUCAACGCUGGGGUUAAGGAGGUCCAGAGAGAGCAAGCCAGGAUCACACAGAUCAUUCACACUUUAUUUUUAAACUAUUUUCUCUGAAAAGCUCUACAACGAUGCACUAACUAUCCUUUCAAAACGUUUGGUUUCUGAAUCAUGGAAUGUUUGUUGAUUCUCCCUUGACCCACAGGAGACUGGGCUUGAGAUCCAGCAGCUGUGUGAGGGACACUCCCGGUUGGUUGACAUCCAUCUGUUCACCAGCCAAUGGAAUCCAGCCUCUCUGGAGACCAAUAGGGGCAUGCCUACCUUACACUACGAGGAGCACAUUCAGAAGGUGCGCUUCUGGACUGACAGGGUGCGCACAGUGCCCCACUCUCUCGCCACCUCAAAAAAGCUGCUCAUCGUCACCUGCUCCCACAUCCAGGAGAAGAUAGGUGUGGCUGUGUGUGGGAGUGUUGGUGUUUUUUUGGUUGCAUGUGCUGUGUGACUUUAGGCCAACUUAGUUAUUGCAUGUGUGUGAUAUAUGUGCGAGUGUGUAACAGUGUUUUACUGGUAUCACUGGGGACUUUUUGUGGCCCUGGUCAAAAGUAGUGCCCUAUAUAGGUAAAUAGGGUGCCAUUUGGGAAGAAUCCUGAAUGUGUGGUUUUGCUUCCCCAUGCAGGGCUUCUGUUGAACUCCAUAAAGGGGGGAUUUGUUGACUGAGGAGCUUCCUUUAAUCAAUACUUUAUAUUUUAAAUCGACCCCAUUGGAUUUAUUUCCUCAGGUGAAACGCUGUGCAAAAAUGUCUAAUGACAUUCAAUAACAACUGAAGUACCUACACUUGCUCUCAGAAACUGUUCGCACCAACUACAGACAGAUGACACCAGAUGAGCUGGUUUUGGAGGAACAGAUGCUGGACCUGUGGGACAUUUUUGUUCCUCUCCUAAAGCAGCGAGCAGAGACAGUGUACCAGCAUCUUUCCUCCAUGGCUGACACCAUGGACAACACCUUCUCCUCCCUGGCCCACGACCUGGAUGAGACUAAAGCCACCUCUGGACCAUAUCUGGACCCCACUCAGAAUGCUGCUCAGAUGCGCAACAAGCUCAAGACCAUGUGCAGACAGGUGUAUGCUGUCUCUGCUCGUCUGACAGAGCUCAGCAGGACCAGUAACUGUCUCAGAGGAAACCCUCUGGAUUUUACUUUUGUAACCAAAGCCAGGCAGAAGAUGGAAGCUCACAAAGGACUGGGAACUGAUGACUGUUUCCACCACCCAGAUCCAAGAGUGGAGGCUGCUGCUCAUCAGCAAGGUGUCUGUCUGCUUGCUCUUUUCUAAUAGCCUCUCUGUUGAUCAACAAGGUACCUAGUAUGCUUAUUGAAUCUGAUAUGGGAAGGACUAAUAUUUUCACCUACUGUUCAUUUGAUGCUAAAAACAUUAGCUACUGGGUGGCUAAGUAGCCACCCUUUUACUUUAAAGGGUGGCUACUUUAACACUAGUUUGGUUACUACAUGAUUGUUUUGAUGUCUUCAUCAUUCUACAUUAAAUAACAUUAAAUAAUGAAGUCAUAGGAAUCUGUUCUUCUGAUUAAAUGAGAAACAUUUCUUAGACUGUAUUUUGCCAUCUCUGCAGACUUAUCAGGCCUGCUGCGAAGUCUGGAGCGACAUGUUCAGGCUUUGGCCAACACCAGCGACCCCUUGGUGUUGGUUUUUAGUGCUGGUUUUGACAGGAGAGCUGGUGAAGGUUCACAGCCGCACCCUGAACACCCUGCUUCAAGACUCCAAGAAGCCCUUUGGCAGGGUCAGGAGCACCAACGAGCUGACCCACCCAGGCCCGGGACAGACUACUAGCCCUGAAGGACAGCUUGGGACGCAAAGAUGACAUCAGGGUCGUGAGUGUAGGAGCUCCAUCCCUGGGACCCCUAUGCUACUUCCUCCAGGCAGAGUGGGACGGACUGGUUGAUGUGGUUUCCUACCUGCGCUCUGAGCUCAACCAGCCCAUGCGAAACAGCAAGCCUAGAGUCUCCUCUCUCCUGACCGUCUCAAGCCUGUUUCGCCUAGAGAGCAGAGCUGCUCAAGGCGUACCUAUGUGAUGAGGCCACCAGUGGUCCAACCAAUGCCUACUGCCUUCUCCAAGGCCUUUCUGUGUGUGUUAAUCAGGGAGGCUGCCCAUGCCAAGCAGAGGGACAUCAGCAACAUCUCUCUGCAUUUCCAGGUGCUGAAACAUCCCCAGCCUCUCUUCCCCUGAGCAGUGUGUUCUAGAACUGAGAUGGGCACUGUGGGAUACACGGCUAGGAGCCCUGCAGGACACGCUCUCUCUCCAGCCCUGCCUGCUCCCCCUCCUCUGGGUCAGAGCACAGGUGAGGAACACAGACACUGUCCAAGCCCCAGACAGCCCCCCCCUGCAACACCUCCUCCCUGCCCCCUCUAUCUGGAUGGAGAGCAUGGGUAUAGUAGAUACUGGGAACUGGCUGAGAAUAACAUUAUCACCCGUGUUCCUCUAGUGGCCAAUCUAGAUCCUGUGCCAUGUACACUGAGAUGAGUGAGGCCUGCGAAUACCCUUUGAAACUAGACUGUAGAAUGCAAUGCUACGAUUAUGUUGAAGCACUUAGAGGUUUUUACAACAGACUUUAAAUGAUACAUCUUAUAAGAAUGUUUCUUCUUGCUUUAUAAAUCUUAAAUUAUUGUGCAUGAUAAGACUUAAUGCAAUACAAUUCCUUUUUGAUUUAA